AAGGAUUUAAGUUAAUCAAACUGUUAGCCUUCAAAGCUGAAAAUAGAAAUUUUCUAAGCCUUA
rnacentral:tRNA from 1 species